rnacentral:rRNA from 1 species
UACGAAGGGGGCUAGCGUUGCUCGGAAUCACUGGGCGUAAAGGGUGCGUAGGCGGGUCUUUAAGUCAGGGGUGAAAUCCUGGAGCUCAACUCCAGAACUGCCUUUGAUACUGAGGAUCUUGAGUUCGGGAGAGGUGAGUGGAACUGCGAGUGUAGAGGUGAAAUUCGUAGAUAUUCGCAAGAACACCAGUGGCGAAGGCGGCCAACUGGACGAAUACUGACGCUGAGACUCGAAAGCGUGGGGAGCAAACAGG